GAUGAACGCUGGCGGCGUGCCUAAUACAUGCAAGUCGAGCGAACAGACGAGGAGCUUGCUCCUUUGACGUUAGCGGCGGACGGGUGACUAACACGUAGGUAACCUACCUAUAAGACUGGGAUAACUUCGGGAAACCGGAGCUAAUACCGGAUAAUAUUUCGAACCGCAUGGUUCGAUAGUGAAAGAUGGCUUUGCUAUCACUUAUAGAUGGACCUGCGCCGUAUUAGCUAGUUGGUAAGGUAACGGCUUACCAAGGCAACGAUACGUAGCCGACCUGAGAGGGUGAUCGGCCACACUGGAACUGAGACACGGUCCAGACUCCUACGGGAGGCAGCAGUAGGGAAUCUUCCGCAAUGGGCGAAAGCCUGACGGAGCAACGCCGCGUGAGUGAUGAAGGUCUUCGGAUCGUAAAACUCUGUUAUUAGGGAAGAACAAACGUGUAAGUAACUGUGCACGUCUUGACGGUACCUAAUCAGAAAGCCACGGCUAACUACGUG
rnacentral:rRNA from 1 species